rfam:Oryza rufipogon genomic scaffold, chr03
AAAAAGACAAACUCUAUUUCUGUGUCCAACUUUGACUGUCCGUUUUAUAUGAAAUUUUUUAAUAAUUCGUAUUUUUAUUUUUGUUAGAUGAUAAAACAUAAUUAAUAUUUUAUGCGUGACUUGUCUUUUUAAUUUUUUUUAUAAUUUUUUUAAAUAAGACGGGCGGUCAAAUAUUGGGCACGGAAACCAGGGUUUGUCUUUUU